AUGCAGAAGAAGACAUCCGAUCCAGAAUAUGCUCGGCGUCAGAGGGGAGGCUGGCGCCAUUGGUGCUCCCGCGGACGACGCCAUUGGAGCUUAGCUACUUCCAUGCUACAUUGCUGGGAUCGAUCAUUAAUGCGUGCCGUCCUUCUCCCACCCACCACCUCUCCACGGGCCGAUGACGACGCCAUGGCCAUGGGGACCCAACCUCAGCUCGCCCACAGUCACAGGCUCACAGCUCCUCGUGAUCCCGAGCUAUCGUAUCGUAUCCAAGCCCUCCAUGGGCCUCUCCCUCCUAUAAAUUCGCCUGCUCUGCAUGCUAAUCUCUAUCUCAUUCUCAUCCAUCACACUGGCCAGCCAGUAGCCACUACGACCACUGAAGAAGAGGCAGUGAGGCACGGAUCACGGAUGCCAGGCAUGGCAUCCAGCAAGGGUCUUCUUGUGUUCGCUCUCCUGCUUGCAGCUGCUGCUAUCCUCGUCGCCUCGACUGAUGAACACACUGAGGCCAAGAAGGAAGAGAAUGGAGCGGGCGUAGAGAACUUCUUCCACUUUGGCGGAGGCCACCACGGGCACGGAGGCGGCGGGGGAGGCUAUGGCGGAGGCGGAGGAGGUUACGGCGGAGGAGGAGGCGGCGGCUACCCAGGCGGCGGCGGAGGCUACGGCGGCGGUGGCGGCUACCCUGGCCACGGUGGGGAAGGCGGUGGAGGUUACGGCGGCGGCGGCGGCUACCCAGGCGGCGGAGGAGGCUACGGCGGCGGUGGCGGCUACCCUGGACACGGUGGANNNNNNNNNNNNNGCUACGGCGGCGGCGGAUGUCACUGGGGCUGCUGCGGCCACGGGCUGUUCCAUCACCAUGGCUGCCGCUGCUGUGCGCGCGCGGACGAGGUUCCGGAGCCCAUGUACCGGGCGCCGGCGGAGGUCCACAACUGA
rnacentral:rRNA from 1 species